rnacentral:rRNA from 1 species
UACAGAGGUGGCAAGCGUUGUUCGGAAUUACUGGGCGUAAAGGGCGCGUAGGCGGCCAUCUAAGUCAGACGUGAAAUCCCCCGGCUUAACCUGGGAACUGCGUCUGAUACUGGACGGCUCGAGUUUGGGAGAGGGAUGCAGAAUUCCAGGUGUAGCGGUGAAAUGCGUAGAUAUCUGGAGGAAUACCGGUGGCGAAGGCGGCAUCCUGGACUAACACUGACGCUGAGGUGCGAAAGCUAGGGGAGCAAACGGG